rnacentral:lncRNA from 1 species
AGCUCUGCCAGGCGGUGCAACCUCUCCAGUCAGGCGGUGCAACCGCCUGAGCUCGGUCUUCGAGCUCUGGCAGAGAGAUGCAACCGCCCCUGACAGAGGUGGCACCGCCCAGAGGCUCAGUCUUCGAGCUCUGCUAGGCGGUGCAACCUCUCUAGUCAGGAGGUGCAACCGCCUGAUCCCGGAAUUCCGGGAUUUGAUCGUUUUGAGCUCCAAAUUUGAACUGGGUUGGGGCCUAUAAAUACCCCACCCAUUCAGCACUGAAAAGAUAUAGACACACACCGAAUUCUUGAUCUUUUCUGUGAUUCUAAGAGCUCAAAUUUGUGUAAAGUUCAAAAGUUCUCCUCUUUCUGUUCUUCAAGUCUUGAGUUGUAAAGAGAGGAGAGAAAGGUUCUGUAAGGGUUGUCUCCUAAGCCCGUCAAAAGGAGUGAAACUGUAAAAGGGCAGUUGGCC